CAAAUUCACAGGAUCGAUGAAAAUUGAAGUGGAGCUUGAGAAUUUGUUGCAUCAAUUCCUCCAAUCUGGCUUGCUGUGCAUCAGAAUUAGAAGCAUUACUGGAACCUCCUUGAGUUAAACUCAACCUCCUAGAUGCUGGAAGUACUUGCUGUGGUGGUAAGGGUGCUAGAAAUGUUGAUUUUACUGCUGGAAUCCAUGCUGAAAAGGAUGAUUCUGCUGGAAAUUUUGAGUAUGCUGAAAUUGCUUAUUUGA